UUCAGUCUAGAGUUGACCGUACCGCAAACCGACACAGGUGGGCAGGAUGAAAAUUCUAAGGCGCUUGAGAGAACUCAGGAGAAGGAACUCGGCAAAUUAACACCGUAACUUCGGGAGAAGGUGUGCCCCGGUAGCGUGUAGAGACUUGCUCUCGAAGCGCGAUGGGGUUGCAGUGAAAUGGUGGCUGCGACUGUUUAAUAAAAACACAGCACUCUGCAAACACGAAAGUGGACGUAUAGGGUGUGACGCCUGCCCGGUGCCGGAAGGUUAAGUGAUGGGGUGCAAGCUCUUGAUCGAAGCCCCGGUAAACGGCGGCCGUAACGAUAACGGUCCUAAGGUAGCGAAAUUCCUUGUCGGGUAAGUUCCGACCUGCACGAAUGGCGUAACGAUGGCCACACUGUCUCCUCCUGGGACUCAGCGAAGUUGAAAUGUUUGUGAAGAUGCAAUCUACCCGCGGCUAGACGGAAAGACCCCAUGAACCUUUACUGUAGCUUUGCAUUGGACUUUGAACCGGUUUGUGUAGGAUAGGUGGGAGACUGUGAAGCCGGGACGCUAGUUUCGGUGGAGUCAACCUUGAAAUACCACCCUGAUUUGUUUGAGGUUCUAACCUUGGUCCGUGAAUCCGGAUCGGGGACCGUGCAUGGUAGGCAGUUUGACUGGGGCGGUCUCCUCCCAAAAGGUAACGGAGGAGUACGAAGGUACGCUUAGGGCGGUCGGACAUCGCCCACAAAGUGCAAUGGCAAAAGCGUGCUUGACUGCGAGACCCACAAGUCGAGCAGGUACGAAAGUAGGUCAUAGUGAUCCGGUGGUUCUGUAUGGAAGGGCCAUCGCUCAACGGAUAAAAGGUACUCUGGGGAUAACAGGCUAAUUCCUCCCAAGAGUUCAUAUCGACGGGGGAGUUUGGCACCUCGAUGUCGGCUCAUCACAUCCUGGGGCUGUAGUCGGUCCCAAGGGUAUGGCUGUUCGCCAUUUAAAGUGGUACGCGAGCUGGGUUUAAAACGUCGUGAGACAGUUUGGUCCCUAUCUGCCGUGGGCGCUGGAAAUUUGAAGGGGGCUGCUCCUAGUACGAGAGGACCGGAGUGGACGAACCUCUGGUGUACCGGUUAUGACGCCAGUCGUAUCGCCGGGUAGCUAAGUUCGGAAGAGAUAAACGCUGAAAGCAUCUAAGCGUGAAACUCGCCUUAGAUAAGAUUUCCCGGAGUCUUGAACUCCCUGAAGGGUCGUCGAAGACCACGACGUUGAUA
rnacentral:rRNA from 1 species